CCGUUAGGACCCAGAAGCUCUCCGAGCAUCCCGCUCUGCCGGCUGCCUCUCAUGCUUGCUGCAGUGGCUUCAGCAGCCUCGGAGAAGCAGCAUCAGCCGGGAGAAGCUAUCACAUGGGGACCUGGAGCUGCUCGGCAAAGAUGCCUUUAUGAGGACACCGGAGAUCCGAAGGGUCCCCCAGGGAAAGUGAGUAGCCCCAGCCCUGGGACUGGAAGCCAGGCCUCGCGCUCUUCCUCAACAGCGCCCCCCUCCGGGGGAGACAAGAAGUCAGGAAAUUCGCAUCAAAACUUUCCAACGGAGGCCUCGUGGGGAGCUCAGCUGGACCCUGGGAGAGGAGAGCAGAGGAUUCAGACUGGCUGAGCCACCGCCUUCCAGAGGGGCGACGGGUGGGGCCCUGGAGGAGAGAACGCGGUGAGGAAGGAGCCCGAGGCCAGCGGGCAGGUGGGGUGGGGAGCGUCCGAGGCUCCCACGUCUCUCGCCACGUCUGUCUCCAACGUCGCCACGGUCACCAGGGCCCACCCCGAGCCACCUCCCCUCAGAGAGAUGCGCUCCUGAGCCCUCGGUUUCCGGCCGGGCGCUGCGGACCAGCGACCCAGCCUCCAGGGCUGCCCACGAGAGCCUGCCCGUGGGACUCCGGCGGGAGGCGCCCGCCCCCCAGCACCGGGAAGCCUGGGCCUGGGCUGGCCACCCCAGGAUCACCGGACUAGGAUGGGGGAUGGGCCUGUGACGGGAGGUGCCCUGGGCGUCCUCUUCCGGCCCCAUGGAGUCCUCGCCCGUCCCCCAGUCGUCAGGGAACUCUUCCGCGCUGGGGAGGGCCCCUCACACCCCCGGUCCCUCCACUGCCAGUGGGGUCCCCGAGGCGGAGCUGCGGGACGUGGCUUCGGAAUCCGUGGCGCUCUUCUUCAUGCUCCUGCUGGACCUGACCGCCGUGGCUGGCAACGCCGCCGUGAUGGCCGUCAUCGCCAAGACACCCGCGCUCCGGAAAUUCGUCUUUGUCUUCCACCUCUGCCUGGUGGACCUGCUGGCCGCGCUGACCCUCAUGCCCCUGGCCAUGCUCUCCAGCUCCGCCCUCUUUGACCAUGACCUCUUUGGAGAGGUCGCCUGCCGCCUCUACUUGUUCCUGAGCGUCUGCUUCGUCAGCCUGGCCAUUCUCUCGGUGUCCGCCAUCAACGUGGAGCGCUAUUACUACGUGGUCCACCCCAUGCGCUACGAGGUGCGCAUGACGCUGGGGCUGGUAACCUCCGUGCUGGUGGGCGUGUGGGUGAAGGCCUUGGCCGUGGCUUCCGUGCCCGUGCUGGGCAGGGUCUCCCGGGAGGAGGGAGCUCCCAGCAUGCCCCCAGGUUGCUCACUCCAAUGGAGCCGCAGUGCCUACUGCCAGCUUUUCGUGGUGGUCUUUGCCAUCCUCUACUUCCUGUUGCCCCUGCUCCUCAUCCUGGUGGUCUACUGCAGCAUGUUCCGCGUGGCCCGCGUGGCUGCCAUGCAGCACGGACCGCUGCCCACGUGGAUGGAGACCCCCCGGCAGCGCUCGGAGUCUCUCAGCAGCCGCUCCACCAUGGUCACCAGCUCGGGGGCCCACCAGACCACCCCGCACCGGACGUUUGGGGGCGGGAAGGCGGCCGUGGUCCUCCUGGCCGUGGGGGGACAGUUCCUGCUCUGUUGGUUGCCCUACUUUUCUUUCCACCUCUACGUGGCCCUGAGCGCUCAGCCCAUCUCGACCAGGCAGGUGGAGAACGUGGUGACGUGGAUUGGCUACUUCUGCUUCACCUCCAACCCUUUCUUCUACGGCUGUCUCAAUAGGCAGAUCCGGGGGGAGCUCAGCAAGCAGUUUGUCUGCUUCUUCAAGCAGGCUCCGGAGGAGGAGCUGAGGCUGCCCAGCCGGGAGGGCUCCAUCGAGGAGAACUUCCUGCAGUUCCUUCAGGGGACUGGCUGUUCCACCGAGUCCUGGGCUUCCCGGCCCCUCCCCAGCCCCAAGCAGGAGCCGGCCACCGUGGACUUCCGAAUCCCGGGCCAGAUAGCGGAGGAGACCUCGGAGCUGCUGGAGCAACAGCUCACCAGCGACAUCAUCACGUCCGACAGCUACCUCCGUCCUGCCCCCUCACCUCGACCCGAGUCAUGACGGGCUGCUGGACGCCCGGAGGGAGCGGGGCUGGGGGCCGGUCAGCACCGCACAGAGCACCUUGUGGGCCGCCUUUCCCCAGCGAGCCGGGGCUGGGGCUGGGGUCUGUGCACACUUAGAGUUUUCUGGGUCAGGAACAGAGCCAACAGGAUGGACAUGUGGCCAGAGCCUUGGACAUGGCUGUGACCCUUGACUCCUGGGGGAGGGAGCCUGGCGAGAUGGUGAUGAGAGGAAAGGGUCACGAAGGGCCGGCCUCCCCGAUUUCUCUCACGGCGGUGACCCACCUCCAGCCCCCCAGACAACCCGGUGCAGAGACUAAGGUUGGGAACGGGUCGGGAGGGGUUUCCACGGUCCAUUAAACCAAAACCUCCCUACUCCCAGGCAUCACUCUCAAAAUUAGCUUCAGUGGCAAAAGACUUAAAUCUCUCUCCUACCUGCAGCCCUGGGGUGGAGACGGGCCACAGGAGCGGGGCUCAGCACCCACCGAUUGACGCUGUAGGGACUGUGUUGGGUGGUGUUGGGGUGAUGUUUUCAAGGGAGGGGGGAACUGCGCCCUGGAUGGGGUGUCCACCCGGGACUACUCGUCCAUCCAGCUCCCUCAGCCGAGGCGGGUAGCAGUGCAAGGUUGAGGCAGAACCGAGAGGGUGCGCGCUCUGCAUUUGAACAAAUCCCUGGCUCACUGAGCGUCAGAGGGGAGGACGGCCUGCUGG